UUUCAAACAAAAGUUUCAAUUUAGUUAGAGAGAUGUACAUAUUAUUUACUGAUGGUCAUGGUAACCGUCUGCUGAGCC